UUAAAACCUUUUGUUUACUGAGAAAAGGGACUCAUUGUAGGAGCUUAAAGGGGUUGUGUAAUCCCAGAACCAAUACCAUCAAAACCAAAGGACUUCCCCAAAUCAGUUUCCAGCACAUUUUCAGAAGAAGAACCUGGAUAUUCUUCCUCUCAACUCUGUCAUAAAUCUAGUUUCCAUUUUCAUAUCAAUCGGAUUAGUUCCAAGACCAGGGUGAUUGACAAUGUGGUUCAUCUCACAUUUUGUGACUGAACUAAUCCAGUAAAUUCCUACCAGACGGUACACAACUCAGCAGAGACCUCUCUUUUCCAGGUGGAGUUUUAUCUCCCAAAAUAUAUAUGUUUUUCCAUCUGCGACUCUAAAAACAAACGGACGGAGUAUAAUUAAGUACAGAUGACACCUUCUCAUUACGGUGGAUUUGAAACAGAGUCAACUGAGAACCCACAUUUGUUUUGGCGACUACUACAGGACAGACCACACAUACUGACUCAUGCUCCUCACUGUCUUGAGCAACAAACAACAAUGUGCACAAAAGGCCCCUGCACUUCAGAUGUGACCGAGGAGUG
rnacentral:lncRNA from 8 species